rnacentral:rRNA from 1 species
GACGAACGCUGGCGGCGUGCUUAACACAUGCAAGUCGAACGGACGAGUGAGAUAAGUUUACUUAACUCACAAGUUAGUGGCGGACGGGUGAGUAACACGUGGAUAAUCUACCUGCAACACCGGGAUAACGCCGUGAAAACGGUGCUAAUACCGGAUACGUUCCCUUGUGCGCAUGUAUGAGGGAAGAAAGCUCAGGCGGUUGCAGAUGAGUCCGCGGCUGAUUAGCUAGUUGGUGAGGUAAAGGCUCACCAAGGCGAUGAUCAGUAGCCGGCCUGAGAGGGUGAACGGCCACACUGGGACUGAGACACGGCCCAGACUCCUACGGGAGGCAGCAGUGGGGAAUCUUCCGCAAUGGGCGCAAGCCUGACGGAGCAACGCCGCGUGGGUGAAGAAGGCCUUCGGGUUGUAAAGCCUGUCUUAUGGAAGAAGUCAGUGAGGUACCAUAGGAGGAAGCCACGGCUAACUACGUGCCAGCAGCCGCGGUAAAAGUACUCU